rnacentral:misc_RNA from 1 species
CGGUUAACCAAAUGCUCACCCCUAAUAUCAUGAUAAGGUUACUUCAAACUGAUUCAAAAUGUUAAGGGCAGAUAUUUGGGCCAACAAAAUAAAGGCUGAAAAUACUGUUGAGUUUGCUGGACUAUCUCCAUUUAGUUCCCCAUGUACAACCUAUCCAGUAGUUCCACCAAAUAAUAAUAAUAAUCAAUUGCAAAUACAAAAUGAGUUCAAAGAAAAGGG